UACGUAGGGUGCGAGCGUUGUCCGGAAUUAUUGGGCGUAAAGAGCUCGUAGGUGGUUUGUCGCGUUGUUCGUGAAAUCCCACGGCUUAACUGUGGGCGUGCGGGCGAUACGGGCAGACUGGAGUACUGCAGGGGAGACUGGAAUUCCCGGUGUAGCGGUGAAAUGCGCAGAUAUCAGGAGGAACACCGGUGGCGAAGGCGGUUCUCUGGGCAUUACCUGACGCUGAGGAGCGAAAGUGUGGGGAGCGAACAGG
rnacentral:rRNA from 1 species